ACACAAGAUUAAAAUAAAUAAAUAAAUAAUCAUAGCCAUAACAAAAAGUCAAAAACAAGCCCAGCCCAGACAAUAACCUGCCAAGACCCACCCGUAACAAACAUAAAACAAAUCCUAUUACAUUUACACCUAUAACCAAAAAAAAGAAAAAAGAAAAAAAAAACCUGCCAAGACCCACCCAGUAACCACUGACCCACAAAAAACAUAAAACAUGACCCAGCCCUCUUAACAAAUCUAAAGUAGAAUAGGUAGCAAGCCUUAUCAGUAGAAUAGGAAGCAAGCCUUAUUAGUUAUACCUGAAGCUCAAAAGUCAAAACCCAUUACCCAGCUAGAAUCAAAACGCAGCACGGCACUGACGGCAGCAGCGGAAAAAAAAAAAAGGGCAGUCGGCGGAGGAAAGGAAGCUUGACUGCUUGAGCCAGGCAUUCGGAUGAUUUAGAUUAGAUCGGAGGAAAGGAAGCUUGAGUUAGGCAGCCAGGCCCAGCAACAGUGAAGAGAAAGAAUGAGAGAAGCGGAGAGCAAGAAUGAGAAAGAGAUGAUACCAAGAAAUAAGAGAAAUCCCAGGCGAAGAAAGAAAAUGAGUCUGAAAGACUUUAUAGUUGCUGAUCUACGCACAAGUUGAUCACAUGUUGGAAUUGGGGGAUUAGGAAAAAGGAACAGAGAUGCUAUUUUGAAGAUGAUAAGGAGAGAGCGAAGAAAGUGGGAAGAGAUCAAGAGGAGGAGUGAGAGACGAGUCUGAGAAACAAGGAAGAGGAGAGAGAAAGUUUGAGGGUGGGAGGAUGCAAGGCCAGGGGAUGUCUGGUCUAAGCCAGUCAGGUCCAAGCCAGAGGAGGAUGUCAGGUCCAAGCCAGAAAGGGAAGAGAGCAAGAGAGGAAGAAGAUGAUAAGGAGGUAGCAAAGAAAGCAAGAGGGGAAGAAGAUGAUAAGAAGGAGAGUGGGAAGAGAUCAAAAGGAGGAGUGAGAAACAAGUCUGAGAAACAAGAAAGAGGAUGUCAGGUCUAAGCCAGAGGAGGAUGUCAAGUCCAAGCCGAUCAAGUUCAAGCCAGUUAGGGAUGAGCCUAUGCAAUCCAUAUCCAUACUGUAGAAAGUAGAAAGUUUCGUAACUUGUAUAUAAUGCUCUUUCAAUUUUUUUUUUCCUUCUUGUUUCUAACACUUAUUUUAGCAUAACAGUUAUAUUUCAUUAAAUAUACCAAGGUACAUCUACUAUGAUCAUCAA